CCCAGCCUCCCCACAAGAACCCAGACACCAGCCGCCUGCAGCCGGAGAGCAGCGACAUGGACGCAGCCAUCUUGGCAGCCCUCCGACGGCUUCCGCUUCCAGGCAUUCCUAGCACCAAAAAGCAUUGGCAAGAGUAGGCCUAGGACGGGGAAGGAGCUGCAGAAAAUAUGUAUUCCAUGGCAAAGGAGCUGUAGGAACAAAUGCCAAAAGGAAAGAGGUUCCCAGCCAGAAUCUGCUCCUUGCAUUUGAGAACUUUGUAUGGAUUUCCCCUCAUCAAACUUCCUUUGAGACUAGCAGCUUUGACAUAUGUAAAGGCGUGAGCUGCAGUGACCAGGAACAGGUCCAAACCAUGCAGGAGAAUGAAGCUACGAUUACUCAGAGCAAGAAGACUCGUUUGCUCAGAACUAAUGGCCAAGAUGAAGUCUGACAGGUCCACACAAGUGGGCUACUCUCCCAGCAGGGAAUUUACAAGGUCUUGCCUUAUGUAGCCACUUCCACUUACUAAUGGAAAUGAAAACCAGAUAUGCCCUUCCCAGCAGCUGCCUCGCCACCACCAGAGCUUUACAUAACUCUUGCUCCACCGUCCUUCUCUAGGGGAGCUCUAUAAAAUAAACAGAUUCAUUACAUGCGGAUUUCCUCUUCCUCUCCUCUGGUUAAACAAAAAGCCUAUUAG